UACGGGGGGAGCAAGCGUUGUUCGGAUUUACUGGGCGUAAAGGGCGCGUAGGCGGCCUCUGCAAGUUGACUGUGAAAUCUCCGGGCUUAACCCGGAAAGGUCAGCCGAUACUGCAGGGCUAGAGUGCAGAAGGGGCAACUGGAAUUCUCGGUGUAGCGGUGAAAUGCGUAGAUAUCAAGAGGAACACCUGAGGUGAAGACGGGUUGCUGGGCUGACACUGACGCUGAGGCGCGAAAGCCAGGGGAGCAAACGGG
rnacentral:rRNA from 1 species